rnacentral:rRNA from 1 species
UACGAAGGGGGCUAGCGUUGUUCGGAAUUACUGGGCGUAAAGCGCGCGCAGGCGGUUCUUCAAGUCAGAGGUGAAAGCCCAGAGCUCAACUCUGGAAUGGCCUUUGAGACUAGAGAACUAGGGUACGGGAGAGGUGAGUGGAAUUCCGAGUGUGGAGGUGAAAUUCGUAGAUAUUCGGAAGAACACCAGUGGCGAAGGCGGCUCACUGGCCCGUUACCGACGCUCAGGCGCGACAGCGUGGGGAGCAAACAGG